AAUAGAGUAAGCUAAAGUAUAAGCUGUUGGGUUCAUACCCCAAAAAUGAAUUUUUAUUCCUUUAUUA
rnacentral:tRNA from 1 species